rnacentral:lncRNA from 1 species
AUGCUACCAUUCCAUGAUGCAAGUUUUUUUUUCUCUUUUCUUAGCUCAGUUGCAGUUGUACCACCACUUCUUUUAUAUCUGAGCUCAGUGUGGUGUAAAGAAUUGGAAGAGUUUCUAGGAAUCCCAUUACCUGGCAGGAAGCAAAAAACUUCAUUGUCUGUAAAAUGGAAGAGGAGGAGAGCAGCAGAGGGAAGAGCCCUGGCUGGAAUUUCCUGUGUUGUUCUGCAUAUGCAGGUUCAACAAACUGAAAGCAGGACAAGAGAGGAAUAAUAAUUGUGGAAUCCUGAGAAGAAAUAAUUUAUAGCAGAUACCACCAGGCAAAUCUGAUAUUGGAAAAAAUAAACUGAGAUGCACCUAUGUGAUACUUUCAAAUACAGAAAAUGCUGCUCAGCAUUCAUAUUAGAAAUUGUUAUCAAUUCAGAAUCCUUGUCAUCUCAGGGAAAUUUGUGAAAUGCUGUCCUAAAGACCUCUUUGGUUCUGACUUUUUCUCCAUGGGAGUACUGAUCACAUGGAAACCUAAAGCCCUCAGCCAGCUCCUACUCUGAAAAAAUGCUUAAUUUAUGAAUUCUCAAAAAAUCGGUUUAUAGAGGAGACCUUCUGCUAUUUAUUGUUUAUUUCACACUGUUUAUUGGUAGUUUCUAUGUUGUUUCAUUUUGAGAGGAGACAGUAUAUUUAGGGUAGAGAUUUAAGCCACGCAAGGUGAAAAACAGGGAUGAAGCUGGAGAAGGAAGAGGAACUUGUCAAAGCCUGUAGAGAGGAAGUGAGGAUAAUUAAUCAGACAAAUGGAGACAGAGCAGGUGUGCAGAGGGAAUAGUCUGAUGGAAUAAAAAAUGAAUGUCAGAAGAG